GAUGAAGAACGUAGCGAAAUGUGAUACGUAAUGUGAAUUGCAGAAUUCAGUGAAUCAUCGAAUCUUUGAACGCACAUUGCGCCCGCCAGCACUCUGGCGGGCAUGCCUGUUCGAGCGUCAUUUCAACCCUCAGAACCCCUUUGGGGGAUCUGGCGUUGGGGAUCGGCAGUCCUGCCGGCCCCGAAAUAUAGUGGCGGUCUCUCUGUGACCUUCCCUGUGUAGUAGCGAUACCUCGCAGCGGGAUAGCAGUUUGGCCACGCCGUAAAACACCCAACUUCUCAAGGUUGACCUCGAAUCAGGUAGGAAUACCCGCUGAACUUAAGCAUAUCAAUAAGCGGAGGA
rnacentral:misc_RNA from 1 species